AUUGAACGCUGGCGGCAUGCCUUACACAUGCAAGUCGAACGGUAACGGGCCUUCGGGUGCCGACGAGUGGCGAACGGGUGAGUAAUACAUCGGAACGUGCCCGAUCGUGGGGGAUAACGAGGCGAAAGCUUUGCUAAUACCGCAUACGAUCUACGGAUGAAAGCAGGGGACCGAAAGGCGUGGCGCGGACGGUGCGGCCGAUGGCUGAUUAGGUAGUUGGUGGGAUAAAAGCUUACCAAGCCGACGAUCGGUAGCUGGUCUGAGAGGAUGAUCAGCCACACUGGGACUGAGACACGGCCCAGACUCCUACGGGAGGCAGCAGUGGGGAAUUUUGGACAAUGGGCGCAAGCCUGAUCCAGCCAUGCCGCGUGCAGGAUGAAGGCCUUCGGGUUGUAAACUGCUUUUGUACGGAACGAAAACCCUUCUUUUAAUACAGGAGGGGCAUGACGGUACCGUAAGAAUAAGCACCGGCUAACUACGUG
rnacentral:rRNA from 1 species